UACGAAGGGUGCAAGCGUUACUCGGAAUUACUGGGCGUAAAGCGUGCGCAGGCGGUUUUGUAAGUUUGUCGUGAAAGCCCCGGGCUCAACCUGGGAAUUGCGAUGAAGACUGCAAGGCUUGAAUCUGGCAGAGGGGGGUAGAAUUCCACGUGUAGCAGUGAAAUGCGUAGAGAUGUGGAGGAACACCGAUGGCGAAGGCAGCCCCCUGGGUCAAGAUUGACGCUCAUGCACGAAAGCGUGGGGAGCAAACAGG
rnacentral:rRNA from 1 species